AUCCAGAUGACGAGUCUCAAACAGGACGUAAUGCGCAUUCUGAAU
rnacentral:hammerhead_ribozyme from 1 species